UACGGAGGGUGCAAGCGUUGUUCGGAAUUACUGGGCGUAAAGCGCUCGUAGGCGGAUUUGUAAGUCAAUUGUGAAAGCCCUGGGCUCAACCCGGGAAUUGCAGUUGAAACUGCGAAUCUUGAAUGCCUGAGAGGGUGACGAAAUUCCUGGUGUAGAAGUGAAAUUCGUAGAUAUCAGGAGGAACACCAGAGGCGAAAGCGGUUGCCUGGCAGUGCAUUGACGCUGAGGAGCGAAAGCGUGGGGAGCAAACAGG
rnacentral:rRNA from 1 species